rnacentral:rRNA from 1 species
GAUGAACGCUGGCGGCGUGCCUAAUACAUGCAAGUCGAACGCGCCGAGAAGGGAACUUGUUCCUUUCAACGCGAGUGGCGAACGGGUGAGUAACACGUGGGAAACCUACCCCUCAGCGGGGGAUAACCAUCGGAAACGAUGACUAAUACCGCAUAGUUGUUCCAGUCGCAUGACUGGAAUGGGAAAGACGGCUUCGGCUGUCACUGAAGGAUGGUCCCGCGGUGCAUUAGCUAGACGGUGGGGUAACGGCCUACCGUGGCUUUGAUGCAUAGCCGACCUGAGAGGGUGAUCGGCCACAUUGGGACUGAGACACGGCCCAAACUCCUACGGGAGGCAGCAGUAGGGAAUCUUCCGCAAAGGACGCAAGUCUGACGGAGCAACGCCGCGUGUGUGAAGAAGGUCUUCGGAUCGUAAAGCACUGUUAUCAGAGAAGAAUAGCCUAUAGAGUAACUGUUAUAGGUUUGACGGUAACUGAUCAGAAAGCCACGGCUAACUACGUG